GACGAACCGUCCAAACGUUAUUCGGAAUUACUGGGCUUAAAGGGUGCGUAGGCGGCGCGGAAAGUUGGGUGUGAAAUCCCUCGGCUCAACCGAGGAACUGCGCCCAAUACUACCGUGCUUGAGGGAGAUAGAGGUGAGCGGAACUUAGGGUGGAGCGGUGAAAUGCGUUGAUAUCCUAAGGAACACCGGUGGCGAAAGCGGCUCACUGGACCAACACUGACACUGAGGAGCGAAAGCCAGGGGAGCAAACGGG
rnacentral:rRNA from 1 species